rnacentral:misc_RNA from 1 species
GGCUGUCCAUAUUAGUCACCUAUCUCAAACUUCUACCGCUUUCUAUCUAGAAAAGAUCUAUAUCUAGUUGCAAUCAAAUAAUCCAAAAGGCUUAACAACAAAUGUGGACAAAGAAAGAUUGCUCGAAUUCAUCAAUCAAAACAAAUAAGAAGGAAACCUAAGUCAACAACCAGAAGCAUAAUCGAUUCUGGUGAAAGGAACUCUUAACUAUCCAAUCAAGAAAAAGCACAAGCUGAGAAUGAGUUGCCUACUUAUGACAAAGUACUCCUAGUUUAAGUAAGAUCAUAUUUUCAGAUUCUUUAGCAUACUGGUUACAAGUUUAGCAAGGAUGUCAAAUCGAUUUAU